UUGCUUGGUGAUUUUUGGGGGAUCUUCAAUAUAUAAAACCUUCCCUGAGAGAUUGUUCCCUGCAGUCACUGAGGAGUGAUGACAGUAAAAGGCCGAAUUGCAGUGUGCCCAUCAGCAGUUUGCUCUCUGUGGGGUGCACGAUGACAAAAUCUCCGGAAGCGAACCACUGGUCUGACCUCAGUAACAUCAGGACUGAAGUUUUGCACUUGGGCAGGCUUUCCAAGAGGGGUCUCCCCCGACCCCGAAAAAAAAUCUCAGGUGAUCUGAAGAUUUUACAGCUAGAAACUGGAGCUAGAAAAUCCGGAGAAUUCAAGCUGUGUUGUUUUAAACAUGGCAGUAUCUUGAGCUACAUUUAAAAGCUGAUUACAGUUAACUGAAUUCCAGGAUUGUAAUUUACUUCAGAAGGUGUUUCUCCAGUAUCCAGUGUCUUCAACAAACGAAAAAGGCCAGCAGCUUCUCGUAUCCUACUGAAUUCAAUACAGAAUGCCUGCACUUCUAUAAACAAGUCCUGCACAUUAAUAAUUUUGUUACGGAUCAAGGACUGGAGAAAGACACACACAAGACGCACCAAACGAUUCUGGGGGGAAAAAAAAAAUUAGUGUAUCCGUUUUCUUGGCAGUAAAAUGACCAAAGCUGGAAAAGCAGAACAAAGAUCCAGAGAGCCAAGACUCCUUGGAUCCAAAACACUUCCUACUGCUGGCUCCUGUUGAUAGGAUCAUUUAUUGUUUAUCAUGUGGAAGAUUAAAGACAAAAUGCUUACAAUAAA